rnacentral:rRNA from 1 species
AUGCUCCACACUCUUCGUGUAUAUACAAAUAAUAAAAGCACAAACAAUUUUUUUUUAUUCCGGAUGCCGUGGUUACAGGAUCAAAUAUCUCAGAUCGACCAUCAUGAAGCCUGCGCCGACUUCCCGGUGCUGCGCCCUCUGAACCCAACCACGCUCAGCUUACUUCCCACCUUAUUCAGAGCAUCCCCCUUCCCACCCUCCGGCCUGGCUCUGCUGCUCUUCCCGGCCUUCUCGCCGCCCUUGCUGCUCCCAGCUCUCACCGGCUUGGCCUUUCUGGCCUCUGCCGGCCUGGCCUUCGGCGGGUUCUUAGACGGCGAGUGCUUUCUGGACGAAGAUGGCUGGCUCUUGGUCGACGACCGCUUUCUGGUCGAAGUUGUGUCCUUGACGGCGACCUUUGGUGACCUUCUCGACAGUGUGACUCCCCUUUUGUUACCCUUCUGGCUAGCAACCCUCGGAGCAUCUGAACUCCUUGCCGACCUACCCCUCGGAGCAUCUGAACUCCUUGCCGACCUUGCAGAAGUCCUUCCCUUGGUGCUUGGGUUUUGA